AUACGGAAGGUCCGGGCGUUAUCCGGAUUUAUUGGGUUUAAAGGGAGCGCAGGCGGCACUUCAAGCGUGACGUUAAAUUUCGGGGCUCACCCCCGUUGUGCGUCGCGAACUGUUGUGCUUGAGUAGGCGGCAGGGAGGCGGAAUUCGCGGUGUAGCGGUGAAAUGCUUAGAUAUCGCGAGGAACUCCGAUAGCGCAGGCAGCCUCCCGUUGCUUUUCUGACGCUCACGCUCGAAGGUGCGGGUAUCGAACAGGAUUAGAUACCCUGGUAGUCCGCACUGUAAACGAUGGAUGCCCGCUGUUGGGCCUUUUGGGUUCAGUGGCCAAGAGAAAUCGUUAAGCAUCCCACCUGGGGAGUACGCCGGCAACGGUGAAACUCAAAUGAAUUGACGGGG
rnacentral:rRNA from 1 species